rnacentral:lncRNA from 1 species
GGGCGCAGGCUGCGGGGUCGGCACGGAAGAUGCACGCGAGGCUCCUGGGGCUCUCGGCCCUGCUGCAGGCGGCCGAGCAGAGCGCGCGUGAGUGCGGCAGCCCGAGGCUGUGCUCACCCCUGCAGCCCCUAACCCCACCCCGGCGCCGGGAGCCGCACAGGCUGCCUAUGCCCGGGCGGGCACUGCCCCAGCCUGCGCCCAGCACUGCGCGCCGGUGACGCACGGUGGUGGCCAUCCCACCUGCAGAGCACGUCCUCCCGUCCUUAGUAGAUGCCCACGCAUGCACCAUCCCCCCAAGGAUGCAUGAUUUUCCUCCACCCAUGCUCGGUUCCCCCCCCUCCCGACUGGUGCUUGACUUCCUCCCGCCCAUGCACGAUCCCCCCGCCCCACGCAUGCAAGAUCCCCUCGCAGAAGCAGGGGAGAUGUAUCCGCCCUUCCUUCCAUCACAAGCUUUGCAAAGUGCUGCGAUGCCAAGAUGUGCUGAGCGCAAGUCUGGGGGCGCCCGGGCUCUCCCCCGACCCCCGGCCGUCCAGGGGGACCCUGCGACUUGGAGGCCGCUCGCAGAAGGGGUGGCGGGGGGAGGGGGACAGGGCUCCGCAUCCACGCGGCCCUGUAGGACGGCGACUCCGCUUCGGGGUUUAGGACGGGGCGGGACGCGGCCCUUCGAGGCCACCUCCGUCGCAGGGGGAACCCAGAGCCCGCCAGCCGCGGCGGAGCAAGAUGGCCCCAUUUUUCGCGCCCUUCUGGUUUGAACGCGUAACUCCUUCAGUGCCGGGAGGAGCGUCUCCGCCCACUUCCGCCGGGCUCCCUGCGGAAGCUUUUUCCCGGGCAGAGUCCCUGGGGUGGAAGAGGGGGUACCCUGGGAACGCCGCCUUGGGACUUUUCCCUGAGUUCGCGGGCGUCCCCGCAGGUCCCGCUGCUUCCGAGGCGCGCCGAGCAGGACGCACACGGAGGACGCGCAAGCGCCCUGGCUCCGCGCCCCGGACUGGAAGGGCUGAGACAGGACCUGCGGGGGUCGGCACCCACCCCAGGUGUCCUCCCUUGCCCUCCAGCUGGGCACGGACUGGGUGUCAGCAUUCCCCAGCCCUGCAGCACCGAAGGCUUUUCGUGCAAGGGAGGCUGCCGCAGGACGCUCGGGGUGGUGACAGCCGGACCCAGCCUGGGCGCUAAGGGCUGCCUGAGCCCGGACCCCGCGGUCUAGAGCUGCAGCGUCUGCAGCUGUACCUCAGGGCAGUUUUCCCAGUUUCCCUAAAAUCCGCGGCUUGUGUUCAUUCAUCCACUUAGAACUUUACUAUUGGAAAACCUAAGUAACAGUUGUGUGAAACGAUGCCUGUGUGCGGUGCCUCUACCAGCGCACCGCCUCCAAGAUCAGCCUCAGACAACCCUGAGGAGGCCGUGCUAGGAGUAUUGGGGAGGCCCAGAGUUCCAGGCCAGGGAGUUCCCCAUGUGAAAGUAGGAGAAAAGGGACCCCACAGAGAGAGCUGUGACCCCACAGGGACUAACGGUUUCGUAGUGCGGAGUUACUGACUGCGGAGUGCACAUUCUCUCUCCACUGCGUAACCACCAUCAAAAACAAACAAGCAAACAAACCAGAGAGGAGGUUUCAUCGUUCUCGAGGAUGCACAAGAUGCUAGGCGCUUCACACAUGUCGUAUAUUGCCCAACAGCUCUGGAAAGCCCUGACAAUGUCAUUUAGUGAAUGCCUGUCCCUGUUGCCAGAGGCUCUGCUGGCUCCCAGCCUGCUCCUAGGAGACUCUUGCUGGUGAUGGGGACACUGUGUUGGUUGGUUACUGUUUUGUUUUGUUUUGAGACAAGAGUCUUGCUCUGUGGCCCAGGCUGGAAUGCAGUGGCCCAAUCUCGACUCACUGCAAACUCCGCCUCCUGAGUUGAAGCCAUUCUGGUGCCUCAUCCAUCCCGAGUAGCUGGUAUUACAGGCACGCAGCCAGCAAACUUGCUCAUUUUUGUAUUUUUAGUAGAGAGGCCCAGACUGGUCUUGAACUCCUGACGUCGAGCAAUCUGCCCACCUCGGCCUCCCAAAGUGCUUUGGUUUUGUUUUUAAUGAGAUAAUUAGGUGUGGCCACAAGAUGAGACACAGGAGAGACUCUGGAAAGCAAAGUUUGCUGUACUCACAGGUCCUAGGACAGGAGACAUGGCACACCAUGCCGGGCCACAGGGGAAUGUCACCAGGGUGGUCAGGAGGCAGGAGACAGGAACCAGGGGAAGUUGAGGCCAGACGCUUUGCUAGGGCAGAGCACCAGCUUCAGAUUAGCCCUUUGAAUAAUUUCUGUGGCUUUGGGGUAUAAGGGUGGUCCCUAGUUUCCUGGCACUGGGCCCUGGGAUGAUUAAGGCAAAAGAAGAUUGCCUUCUGCGGGGGUAUGGGCCAGGUAGGGGAGGUCUGGCUCUGGCUAGAUUUAGUUCGCAUGUCAAAGGCAAGCUCCUGGCUGGGCCCUUUGCUAGCUGAAAUAAUUGCUAGCCUUGGGAGGGACAGUCACUCCCCAGCCAGAAAGAUUUUAAGAGGUCAGAACAUCAUAACAUCCAGAAAAUGUUCAGUUGUUUAAAAUGCAGGUACCCAGUCUCACUCCAGCCUUCCAACAACCUGCUUGCCUUUCCCCUUCUCACCCAGGCCUUUACACCGUGGCUUACUACUUCACCACAGGACGGCUUCUGUGGGGGUGGCUGGCCCUUGCUGUCCUCCUGCCCGGGUUCUUGGUCCAGGCCCUGAGCUACCUGUGGUUCCGAGCAGACGGGCAUCCAGGGCAUUGCUCCUUGAUGAUGCUGCACCUCCUACAGCUUGGUGUUUGGAAGAGGCACUGGGACGCUGCACUGACCAGUCUGCAGAAGGAACUGGAGGCUCCCCACCGAGGCUGGCUGCAGCUGCAGGAGGCCGACCUGUCGGCCCUUCGACUCUUGGAGGCCCUGCUGCAGACUGGGCCCCACCUGCUGCUUCAGACAUAUGUUUUUCUAGCCUCAGACUUCACAGAUAUUGUGCCAGGGGUGAGCACCCUGUUUUCCUGGUCCUCACUCUCCUGGGCACUGGUGUCCUACACUCGCUUCAUGGGCUUCAUGAAGCCAGGCCACCUGGCCAUGCCAUGGGCCGCCCUCUUCUGCCAGCAGCUCUGGAGGAUGGGCAUGUUGGGAACCCGCGUGCUGAGUCUGGUUCUGUUCUACAAAGCCUACCACUUUUGGGUUUUUGUGGUUGCAGGUGCCCACUGGCUGGUGAUGACAUUCUGGCUUGUCGCCCAGCAGAGUGACAUCAUCGACAGCACCUGCCACUGGAGGCUGUUCAACCUGCUCGUGGGGGCCGUGUACAUCCUCUGCUACCUCAGCUUCUGGGACAGCCCUUCUAGAAAUAGGAUGGUCACGUUCUACAUGGCAAGUGGCACUUUUCUUUAUCCUAACUUUUACAGUGUAUACAGCAAGUGGGGUGUGUGUGGGUGUGUGUGGGGGGUGUGUGUGUGUGUGCACCAAUGCACACCUAUCUAUUGAAAAGGAAUAGCUUAGUUUAAGAAAAAUUCUUAAAGAAAUGAUAGUCUUGAACAGAGAUGACAGGCUUUGAAAAUAGUAACCCAACCUCCAGCUGUGGCCCUGCAUUCAAUGUGGCAACAACUGAGGCAUAUUUGGUGAUGUCUUCUCUACAUCAGCCCACCUGCUGAAUAUCAUUACAGUUCAACUGUAUAAUAUCAUAUACUCAAUGUCUCUGUUAAUCAACUCCAUUUUUAUUAGGGGUUUAUGAAUAAGAUCCAGGCAUGGCCCUAGAGAGUAUCAGAAACACAAAAGUGGCCUAAUACUUCUUCAGAUUGCUUUGAGUCCCGUAGAGAUUUCUUCAUAUUUGAAGAACUUAUAAUAUUUGGUAAGUAAGUAGACACCCAAAUAACCAAAAUCAGACAGAACGUAGCUAGAUGCCAGGAGAGAAAAAAAUGUCUGGGACUCAUAGGAGUAGCUGCCAGCAUCACCUCUCGUCAGGAUGACCACAGACACUUUUGGCAGGACAGUGGAGGUUGAGCUGGAUUAUAAUGGGCAAAGGAGAGAAAAUACAAUCACAUUGGUGGGGCAUGGGUUUUAGAGUCAGAAAAAACUUGCACUGGAGCCCAGCUCUGCUGACUGCUACCACCAGCUGGCUUCAGCCAAGAAUUUAAACUGUCUGAACCUACUUUUUCAUGCACACGCUAGGAAUAAGUCACCCCCCUCUCAGUGUUCCUGUGAAGAUUAAAUAAGAUCUACAUACUCUUCAGGGUUCCUGUAAAGACCAAAUAAAAUAAUAUACAUAAGUAGCUGGCACAAAAUAACCCAUAAAUUGUGGCCAUUAUUCAUAUGAAAAGGAGAGACUUCUGUGGGAGGAGUCAGGCAUUCCAGGGUAGAGACCUGGGUGAAGGUAAAGGCAGGAUGCAGCUCCUGUCCAGGAAAGGGAAGCGUCCUAGACACCUGCUGAUUUUAGGACCCAUAUAGCACAGUGACCCCACAGGCUAUAGAGCCAGGCAGAGCUCACAGGACUUGCAAUGUUGGACACAUUACUGAGCCUCACCAACCUCAGCGUCCACAUCUGAACACCGAGCAUAACAGCGUGCGUGUUGUAGAUAGGUUCACUUGUGGCAGGGCCCAGGUCAUGCAUGAGCAGCCUCCCAACCAACAUGAUCCCCAAGUGAACAAAGAAGUGGAAUAUUGAUUUUCUCAUCCAAUUUGCUGAAGUGGCUUAUUCAUAGGUGGACACCCCGCCUGCCAAUGCCCAGAUAAGCAGGAGCUCAAUAAGGAGGAGUUUGACACCUGCCACCUUGUUUGCUUGCAUUUGUCACACUCACAUGUCAGUUGCCGUGUCAUCUCCCAGGAGUUUGAGGGCUGUUAGAGAAGGAAAGAAAGCAAAUCCUUCAUUCUUCCCAACCAUCUCAUACAGUCACUAGAUCACUGAGUCAAGAGCGAUUAAAUAGGAAAAGCAGAAAUCAGACACCAUUACAUUUGGAGUGAGAUCUACCACAGUGGCACGAGUGUCCUUAUCUCUCUCGCUGUGCACAGACCCAUCCAGGCCGGGCAGUCCUAGCCCGGGGGCUUGGAUCCCUACAGCAUGUGAUGGGGAACAUGGGCUUUAGGCCUUGCUGCCCGACCAGCUAAGGCUUGAUACCAGGAUCCUUCGGUUCUGAACUGUAUGAGAGUCACCGGGGCUCCCCCUGCCCCCACACCCAGUUUUUGCAUCUCUGAAAUGGUUGUUGCUAGGAUUGAUAAGGUGAUGGAUAGAAAGCCAAGAGCCUGGUGCCUGGCACAGGUAGAUAGAUGUAGAUGCUCUGAAA